AAAUUUUAAACUAACUAAAUUUUAACUCCAAAAUUAAAAGAAGGCAUAGUAUGUAAAUUGAAAAAUAUAUGUUAGCGUUUCCCAACACUUCUAUUUUCGAUUGUUUGAUUUGAAAUUAUUCGAGCCUUUUUUGCACCAGUUUAUCUGCGCCCAUGGGAUGCGGCAGUCUUAAGCACUUUUUGACAUUCAAGCCAAAGCAAACAAAAAGGCUCGGGCGGAAGAGCCGGGAAGCCGUAAGAUGGGGGCAGGUGAGUCAGUUGAAUCAGCAGGAGGAAAAGCUGGCAAAAAAAUGUAAAUGGAGCUGCAAAAAAGGAGACCAACGAUUUGUGCAGUCAUCGGAAGCGGAAGCCAGGACUCACUGCCUCCUCUGCCGUCUCCUCCUCCCUCCCCCGGUGACCAAGUGACGAGGACAUUCGGUCCACGGAGUGAGUCAAGGAUAAAGCGCUGUUGUGGAGACAGAGUAAAGAGCUCUGUUGACUUAAAUCGUUUAGGAGGGAAAACAGAGGGUCCGAGAGCUUUUCCCUUUUCCUGGGAGAUUGACAGAAUCGCUGGGAAUAAUUGAUGGAAAAAGUGGAGGCAAACAACUGAUGGAAAUCUGAAGGAUGGAAAAGCUGACGUUUAAUUGAUUAAAGAUGUGCACGGUGAACUAUAGUUAAUCUAUAAAAAAUGUUUUAUAACGAAUGAAUAAGCGAAUU